GGGGAGAGGCUUAGAAUCCCCGUGAGCUGGAGUGUGAAUAGCGGUGUCUUUGGCCAGGCGUAGCGGUUCGUGAAUC
ncrna:unclassified sequences L13-Bacteroidia ribosomal protein leader